rnacentral:rRNA from 1 species
GACGAACGCUGGCGGCGUGCAUAACACAUGCAAGUCAAGGGGGUCAGUAGCAAUACUGGCAACCGGCGAACGGGUGCGUAACACGUAAGCGACCUACCUCAAUGUGGGGCAUAGCCGGCCUAACGGCCGGGUAAUUCCGCAUGUGAUCUUGGAGGGGCAUCUUUCCGAGAUGAAACCAGUAAUGGGCAUUGAGAGGGGCUUGCGGCCUAUCAGCUUGUUGGUGAGGUAACGGCUCACCAAGGCUACGACGGGUAGCUGGUCUGAGAGGAUGGCCAGCCACAUUGGGACUGAGAAACGGCCCAGACUCCUACGGGAGGCAGCAGUGGGGAAUCUUGCGCAAUGGUCUAACGACUGACGCAGCGACGCCGCGUGAGGGAUGAAGCUCUUCGGAGUGUAAACCUCUGUUG